UGACACUGUGGAUUUUCACUGUUCUAAGCUCCCCGUGACCUGUGGUGAGGCGAAAGGGAUUUUAUAUAAGAAGAAAAUGAAACACGGAUCCUCAGUGAAGUGCAUUCGGAAUGAGGAUGGAACUUGGUUAACACCAAAUGAAUUUGAAGUCGAAGGAAAAGGAAGAAAUGCAAAGAACUGGAAACGGAAUAUACGUUGUGAAGGAACGACCCUAGGAGAGCUGCUGAAGGUAUUAUAAUGACGGGACAGAUAGGUGACAGGUUUAAAUCCUUGAAGGAGAAGUGGAGCUUUAGGAGCAGAAAUGUGAAGAGCUCCCGUUAGGAUUCAACAGCAUGAUUUAUAAGGAGUUAAAUGUUCAUAGAAAAAAAAUUGUGGGUGACAAAGUUAGGAGCACAGAUUGUUCCUGAUGGUGGAGAACUUUAAAUGCAAGUAAAGGAGUACAGGAACUUUAAGUGCCGGCAAAGGGCUUUGAGGUGAAGAGAGAUGUAAGAACCUAAAAAGAAACUAGCUGAAGACAGAUGCCUGCAACCACUCUCCUGCAUCCUCUACCUGACAUCUACUCAAGGCCCAGCUCAUCUGGCCCCCCUGCAGCAUUUCCAGGCUGCCCAGUCCGUGGUCUGUCUCUCCGCUGCAUGUCCACAGCACACUAUUCCUGUCCUGAGAACAACUAGUGUCUAUGAUGACAGGACCCAACACAAG
rnacentral:lncRNA from 1 species